CCUACGGGAGGCAGCAGUCGGGAAUAUUGCGCAAUGGAGGAAACUCUGACGCAGUGACGCCGCGUGCAGGAAGAAGGUUUUCGGAUUGUAAACUGCUUUAGACAGGGACGAAACAAAUGACGGUACCUGUAGAAUAAGCUCCGGCUAACUACGUGCCAGCAGCCGCGGUAAUA
rnacentral:rRNA from 1 species